rnacentral:rRNA from 1 species
GAGUUUGAUCAUGGCUCAGGAUGAACGCUGGCGGCGUGCCUAACACAUGCAAGUCGAGCGAAGCACUUAACUUUGAUCCUUCGGGUGAAGAGUUCUGUGACUGAGCGGCGGACGGGUGAGUAACACGUAGGUAACCUGCCUCACACAGGGGGAUAACAGUUAGAAAUGACUGCUAAUACCGCAUAAGCGCACAGGGCCGCAUGGCCCGGUGUGAAAAGCUCCGGCGGUGUGAGAUGGACCUGCGUCUGAUUAGCCAGUUGGCGGGUAAC